CUUAGGUCCAGGCAAAUAGGGCUCCUUGGGGUGAUUCUCAAGGAAGUCAUGCCUUUCUUUGGCUCAAUAGUACUCCUCUAUGUUUAAUUCUUCUUCACUUUGGUAUUGCCUCCUUGGAUAGGUUAGUAAGCUGGAAGGCAUAGAACUAGGUCAUGGGAGGAACCCGAAUUCAGCACUGAAGAAUUCUGGCUGGCCCAGUAGAGUCGCCACCAACCAGUUGUGUGAAGUGGAUAGAGCUUAGCUGUAACUGUGUGCCCUUAAUGCCAGAGGAGAGAAAUAAUGCCCACCCUGCCUGCACCACAAGGCUACUUUGAGGAACAUGACCAAUCUCGUGUGGGGACCUCCUUUAGUGCCUGUAGGAUUGUCUGUGUAACCCUAAUUGUAUUGUUAGAUGAUGUAAAAAGGAUACCCUGGUGCAUUACACUGAGAAGACUAAGGAUUUUCCCUGCCAAAUACAUCUCAUGCCCAUUCUCCACGUGCUCGUGCACCUGUGUAAAAUCACAUGCAACAGGGAAAGUUGAUUGGAAUUUUCUAUUUUCUUAUGUUUUCCUAAACUUGAGCCAUUGCUCCUCACCAUACCUGCUUUACCAGCUCACACUGGGAAUCGGAACCACCUGGUGUAUGUGGCAUCUCCACACCCCUCAGGGGCCCUUGAGGCUGAAUCUUAUGUCUCUCCAUAUCUCAGUCUGGCACUGAAUUUUCUCAAGUGUGCUCUGUAGAACAUCAGUCACCUAAAGUGUUAUUUUUGAGCCCACAG
rnacentral:lncRNA from 1 species